GGAAGGAUCAUUAAUGAAUACACUGGGCGCUCUUAUUAGAGGUCCGACCACUCAUUACCUUCACACUGUGCACACACUUCUUUUUCACCCAUUUUAAACACCUUAGUAUAAGAAUGUACCAGUCUCUUAAUUGAGCAUAAAUAUAUAAUAAAACUUUCAGCAACGGAUCUCUUGGCUCUCGCAUCGAUGAAGAACGCAGCGAAUUGCGAUAAGUAAUGUGAAUUGCAGAAUUCAGUGAAUCAUCGAAUCUUUGAACGCACCUUGCACUAUUUGGUAUUCCGAAGAGUAUGUCUGUUUGAGUGUCAUGAAACUCUCAACCCCCCUGUUUUGUAACGAGACGGGCGGGGCUUGGAUUAUGGCUGUCUGUCGGCGUAAAGCCGGCUCAGCUGAAAUACACGAGCAACCCAUUUGAAAUAGACGGUUUGACUUGACGUAAUAAUUAUUUCGCUGAGGACGUCUUCUUUAAAGUCAGUGGUGCUUCUAAUGUGUUCUAUACAUUAUAAGCUUUAGACCUCAAAUCAGUCAGGACUACCCGCUGAACUUAAGCAUAUCAAUAAGCGGAGGAAAAGAAACUAACAAGGAUUCCCCCAGUAACGGCGAGUGAAGUGGGAAAAGCUCAACUUUAAAAUCUGGCACCUUCGGUGUCCGAGUUGUAGUCUCAAGAAGUGUUUUCCGUGUCGGUCCGUGUAUGAGUCUGUUGGAACACAGCGUCAUAGAGGGUGACAACCCCGUUCAUGCCACGGAUACCGGUGCUUUGUGAUACACUCUCGAAGAGUCGAGUUGUUUGGGAAUGCAGCUCAAAUUGGGUGGUAAAUUCCAUCUAAAGCUAAAUAUUGGAGAGAGACCGAUAGCAAACAAGUACCGUGAGGGAAAGAUGAAAAGCACUUUGGAAAGAGAGUUAACAGUACGUGAAAUUGUUGAAAGGGAAACGAAUGAAGUCAGACGUGCGUGUUGCGAUUCAGCUCUGGGUCGCCAGAGUGUAUUUCGUAACUUUGCAGGCCAACAUCGGUUUUCUGAGUCGGAUAAAGGUUUGAGGAAGGUGGCGCUCCAGGGCGUGUUAUAGCCUCUUGCUGAAUACGAUUCGGGGGACCGAGGAACGCAGAGCGCCGCAAGGCAAAGGUUACGACCUUUUCGCUCUUAGGAUGUUGGUGAAAUGGCUUUAUACGACCCGUCUUGAAACACGGACCAAGGAGUCUAACAUGCUUGCGAGUGUUUGGGUGGCAAACCCAUACGCGUAAUGAAAGUGAAUGGAGGUGGGAUCCUGCAAGGGAGCACCAUCGACCGAACCGGAUUUUUAAUGAAGGUUUUGAGUAAUAGCACGUAUGUUGGGACCCGAAAGAUGGUGAACUAUGCCUGAAUAGGGUGAAGCCAGAGGAAACUCCGGUGGAGGCUCGUAGCGGUUCUGACGUGCAAAUCGAUCGUCAAAUUUGGGUAUAGGGGCGAAAGACUAAUCGAACCAUCUAGUAGCUGGUUCCUGC
rnacentral:misc_RNA from 1 species